UGUCCUAUGGUGUAAUGGUAGCACUAGAGUUUUUGGUUCUCUCAGUCGUGGUUCGAAUCCGCGUAGGACAA
rfam:Prevotella sp. S7-1-8 contig033, whole genome shotgun sequence.